rnacentral:siRNA from 1 species
UGUGUUUCCGAAUGUGUGU